UUGAUAAUUUAUCGCCCUUUGAAUCGACACGCCAUUUGUAAACAUCGAAGGUCGCGGAGAAAAUGAAACUACCAAAAACAAUUAUUUGAUGAUUUAUUUCGAUUGUAUAAAGAAUGACAGUUAGCGAAUCUCAAGAUCAACCACUGAGGAUUGUUUGGCUUGAUGCAAUGACCUUAAACAGUGAAAUGAUUUUCCAGGAAGGUCUAUACACCACAGGCUGGAUUUUAUGGGGUGAUGAAAGAACUAUGAAUAUGUAAAUGGGAAUGAAACAGAAGGAAUUAGUAUGUUAUACUGAUCAUCCAGCUGGAAUCAUGCCUGUGGAAUAGAGUGCAUGUCACAAAUACUGAUAUGAGCAAAUAACUCCAUAUUGCACAAAUAAGGUCAUGUUUCCUGCCCUCAUGACCUGAAAAAGUUAAAAAUUAUAGUUCAAAUUACAAAUGUGUUUCAAGAAAAAGUAAAACUUAGUCAACUGUAAGAAAUAUUGGGUAAACGUAUUUUAUAAAGUGUUUUGAUGUCAUGACAGCUGUGAAGUUGUUUGAGAAGCACUAUCCUAAUUGUUCUAACAAUACAGAAUUUAACUUAUAAAUUUUCCAAAACUGCAUGCAUGAAAUACUAAGACAUGUCUGUUGAAUGAAUCCUAGUUGUUUCAAAACUACAACAUGUGUGACAUUAAAGCACAACCUUUGGAGGAAACAGUUUUACAAUCAAAACUGCCUUGCCAGUGUGAGUGUAGGAAGGAUUUUUUUUCCAGAAAUGGCCAUGACAGAAAACUACCAAUAUAGCAGAAAAUAUUUGUUACUGGCUGAAUAUAAUAUAUCUUAUUUCAAGAAUUAAUCAUGUAAAUCCAUGGUUAUAAUUGUGUUAAAAGAUAUUUUUACAUGACAUGACCUUUGCAGAAAUUGCUAUUUUUUUUGCAAAACAUUGUGAGUUGCCAUGGUAACACAAAUUUGAUUUAAAUUUAGAUUUGUUUGAUUAUCUAAACAGCAUGUGUCUUGUUUAUAAUAUUCUGCUAAUCAGACUAUGUUCUGCAAGAAAAUAUCUUUUAUGUGUAACCAUCAACAAAACAUGUUAUAACACAAAUCUGCCAUAAAAUGGCAGAGCUGUAAUGCAGGUAGGCAUAUCAGGAAAAUAUGUAGUUCUCAAAGACAAGUUAUAUUACAUAAAAUGAUGUUUGUUUUUUAUAAAUGAUCAUAAUUGACCAUUUGUGGUGUAAAACAAAUGUAUACUGAACAGAUUGUAAUGAAUGUUCUGAUUCUUUCUGGAAAAUUUACAAAAAAUCUACUAUUUUAAGAAAAUAGUGCAUUGUUGCCAUGGUAACAUUAAUUUAACUUUUAAAUUAUUUUGGAUAUCAUCAUAUGUAAACAACAUCUUUCUUGUUUAUAUGUUAUAUUUGUUAAGCUGAAUUAUGUUAGUGAAUAUAUUUUCAUAUGUAAUAAUUGCAUCAACAAAGCACUAUGUUAUUACACAAGUCUGCCUUAAAAUGGCAAUAGUUGUAACUGAGAGAGAUGUAUCUGAAAAUUAUGUAUUUCUGAAACCAUAUUACAUUAAUUUUCAUGGAAUGAUGUCUACUCUCUUACUUUUAAAUAAGAAAACAGACAGCUUUUGAUGUAAA